UACAUGCAAGUCGAGCGCAGGAAACUGACGGAACUCUUCGGAGGGAAGGCAGCGGAAUGAGCGGCGGACGGGUGAGUAACACGUAAGGAACCUGCCUCAAGGAUUGGGAUAACUCCGAGAAAUCGGAGCUAAUACCGGAUAGUUCAUCGGACCGCAUGGUCCGUUGAUGAAAGGCGCUCGGCGUCACCUUGAGAUGGCCUUGCGGUGCAUUAGCUAGUUGGUGGGGUAACGGCCACCAAGGCGACGAUGCAUAGCCGACCUGAGAGGGUGAUCGGCCACACUGGGACUGAGACACGGCCCAGACUCCUACGGGAGGCAGCAGUAGGGAAUCUUCCACAAUGGACGAAAGUCUGAUGGAGCAACGCCGCGUGAGUGAUGAAGGUUUUCGGAUCGUAAAACUCUGUUGUAAGGGAAGAACACGUACGAGAGGGAAUGCUCGUACCUUGACGGUACCUUACGAGAAAGCCACGGCUAACUACGUGCCAGCAGCCGCGGUAAUACGUAGGUGGCAAGCGUUGUCCGGAAUUAUUGGGCGUAAAGCGCGCGCAGGCGGCCUUUUAAGUCUGAUGUGAAAGGAUCUACG
rnacentral:rRNA from 1 species